GCUGGGUGUGGUGGUGUGUGCCUGUAGUCCCAGCUACUCAGGAAGCUGAGGUGGGAGGAUCGCUUGAGCCCAGGAGUUCUGGGCUGUAGUGCGCUAUGCUGACUGCGUGUCCACACUAAGUUCAGCAUCAAUAUGGUGACCUCCAGGGAGCAGGGGACCACCAGGCUGCCUAAGGAGGGGUGAACUGGCCCAGGUCGGAAAUGGAGCAGGUCAGAACUCCCGUGCUGAUCAGUAGUGGGAUCACGCCUGUGACUAGCCACUGCGUUCUAGCCUGGGCAACAUAGUGAGACCCCGUCUCU
ensembl:misc_RNA Metazoa_SRP Metazoan signal recognition particle RNA